AAACUGAGGCCAUGUCACCAAGCUGGGCACAGUCAUCAAUCGUUUGACUGUCCUGGGCCUAGGGCUCCUUGGGAAGCUUCAUUCAGUGUCAGCGGGAGAUAUUGCACCUGUGGAAUGAGACUCAAUAUCUCCCCAAGCUGGCCAGGGUGGCAGAGGGAUCUCAGAGUUGGUGUUCCCUUGGACACCAUGGUCACAGAGGGGACAAGAUAAACCAAGGAACAGAGCCUUCCAUGUCUAUGUAAUGAGCUGAAGAUGGGAAGGAGACACUGAAAGCUGAAGCCACCUCCUGCAGGAAUGUCUCUAAGGAAUGGAGGAAGGAACAUCAGCUGGGAAGCCCUAAAAGCAGGACUCUGGCCCUUGGACACUCAAAUCAGGAAGGCUUUAGUUCAACACAGUGGAGGGUUUUGUAAUGAUGGAGCUGUCUGACAGCUAGAGAUGGGAACUCAAGCACCAGGCAGACUGGAGAGGGCCUUUACUGUUGAUCAUCCAGUCGAGGAUGAAGUAAGUUAUUUCACGGAAAGCACUCAGAAACCUGCUCACUGAAGCUCACUAAAUGCCACCUGUGUUCAGUAUGUCCUUAGCACGGACACUGGCAGAACUCAGCCAGUCUAGGCAGAGGAGCCCCUGGGAUGAGAGAGAGCAGAUGCCAGUGCUGUCUGCUGUUGACAUGAGGAGUCUUCGAAACUUUUCUCCCUGAAGCCUCGAUUCCACUGCCUGCCAUCGGCUUGGAUUAAAUGGCUGUGCCUCCA